rnacentral:lncRNA from 1 species
CUGAGUCAAAGCAGGAUCUUGCUGUUGUUCCACCUAACAGCACAGUAAUAUAUGAAGUUGAGCUUAUUUCAUUUGUGAAGGUGCGGACAUGACUGAUAUUCGUGUCUGUUCUAAAUCAUUGACCUGUGUGCAACUGCACAUGACUGAUAUUCGUGUCUGUUCUAAAUCAUUGACCUGUGUGCAAUUGCAAAAUUGAUCAAUAUAAUCUUGUCACACAGGACAAGGAGUCGUGGGACUUGAACAAUGAAGAGAAGAUUGAGGCUGCUGGUAAGAAGAAAGAGGAAGGGAAUGC